rnacentral:tRNA from 1 species
GCCGGAUUGGUGGAAUUGGCAGACACGAUGGAUUCAAAAUCCAUUGCCCGCAAGGGCGUCCCGGUUCAAGUCCGGGAUCCGGUA